rnacentral:rRNA from 1 species
CCCUUAGAUGUUCUGGGCGGCCCGCGCACUACAUUGGCACUAGCAACAAGAUCCUAGAUCUGAUAUUUCGGGGUAUUCUACCAACUGGUGUCGUGACUGGGAUUAACCCCUGCAAUUAUUGGUUAUGAACGAGGAAUUCCUUGUAAUCACGGUUUAUCAACCCGUGUUGAAUGCGUCCCUGCCCUUUGUACACACCGCCCGUCGCUCCUACCGAUGAAUCGUCCGGUGAAGUUCAUGGAGUCGCGGCUGCUCCAGCUGUUUUCGAAGUGAAAUGGACCUCAUGAUUUAGAGGAAGGAGAAGUCGUANCA